GUGGGGAAUAUUGGGCAAUGGGCGAAAGCCUGACCCAGCGACGCCGCGUGAGGGAAGAAGGUCUUCGGAUUGUAAACCUCUUUCAGCAGGGAAGAAGAAAGUGACGGUACCUGCAGAAGAAGUCACGGCUAACUACGUGCCAGCAGCCGCGGUAAUACGUAGGUGGCGAGCGUUAUCCGGAAUUACUGGGUGUAAAGGGUGUGUAGGCGGGGUGUCAAGUCAGAUGUGAAAACUGUGGGCUCAACCCACAAACUGCAUUUGAAACUGAUACUCUUGAGAGUGGGAGAGGUAAACGGAAUUCCUGGUGUAGUAGUGAAAUGCGUAGAUAUCAGGAGGAACACCGGUGGCGAAGGCGGUUUACUGGACCACAACUGACGCUGAGACACGAAAGCGUGGGGAGCAAACAGGAUUAGAAACCCCUGUAGUCC
rnacentral:rRNA from 1 species